UUCGGCUAGGGGGUCAUCCCGACUUACCAAACCGAUGCAAACUCCGAAUACCAGCAAGUACAGUGAGGGAGACAGACUGCGGGUGCUAACGUCCGUAGUCAAGAGGGAAACAACCCAGAUCGCCAGCUAAGGUCCCAAAGUAUUAUUAAGUGGGAAACGUUGUAGGAAGGCCCAAACAGCUAGGAGGUUGGCUUAGAAGCAGCCAUCCUUUAAAGAAAGCGUAACAGCUCACUAGUCGAGUCGGCCUGCGCGGAAGAUGUAACGGGGCUAAAUAAUACACCGAAGCUGCGAAUGAAUAUUUAUAUUCAUGGUAGGGGAGCGUUCUGUAUGCCACUGAAGGUGAAUCGAGAGGUUCAUUGGAGGUAUCAGAAGUGAGAAUGCUGACAUAAGUAACGAUAAGAGGGGUGAAAAACCUCUCCGCCGAAAGACCAAGGUUUCCUGUCCAACGUUAAUCGGGACAGGGUGAGUCGACCCCUAAGGCGAGGGCGAAAGCCGUAGUCGAUGGGAAAUAGGUUAAUAUUCCUAUACUUCUUGUUACUGCGAUGGAGUGACGGAGAAGGCUAGGCCAGCACAGCGACGGUAGUUCUGUGUUUAAGGUUGUAGGUUGGAGAUUUAGGUAAAUCCGGAUCUCUAAGACCGAGAACUGAUGACGAUUAUCUUUUCGGAGAUAAGAAGUGGUCGAUGCCAUGCUUCCAGGAAAAACUUCUAAGCUAUAGGUAGCAAGGAAUCGUACCGUAAACCGACACAGGUGGUCAGGUAGAGAAUACUAAGGCGCUUGAGAGAACUCUGGUGAAGGAACUAGGCAAAAUGGUACCGUAACUUCGGGAGAAGGUACGCCCUCAUUACGUGACGAGACUUGCUCUCCGAGCGGAAGAGGGUCGAAGAUACCAGGUGGCUGCGACUGUUUACUAAAAACAUAGCACUCUGCAAACACGAAAGUGGACGUAUAGGGUGUGACGCCUGCCCGGUGCCGGAAGGUUAAUUGAUCGGGUUAGCCCCUUGUGGGCGAAGCUCGUGAUCGAAGCCCCGGUGAACGGCGGCCGUAACUAUAACGGUCCUAAGGUAGCGAAAUUCCUUGUCGGGUAAGUUCCGACCUGCACGAAUGGCGUAACGAUGGCCACGCUGUCUCCACCAGAGACUCAGUGAAAUUGAAUUUGCGGUGAAGAUGCCGUAUACGCGCGGCUAGACGGAAAGACCCCGUGCACCUUUACUAUAGGUUCACACUGGACUUUGAGUUUAUUUGUGUAGGAUAGGUGGGAGACUUUGAAGCAGGAGCGCCAGCUCUUGUGGAGUCGUCCUUGAAAUACCACCCUAUUAAAUUUGGAGUUCUAACUUAGGCCCGUAAUCCGGGUCGAGGACAGUGUGUGCUGGGUAGUUUGACUGGGGCGGUCUCCUCCCAAAGAGUAACGGAGGAGUGCGAAGGUAACCUCAGCACGGUCGGACAUCGUGCAAUGAGUGCAAUGGCAUAAGGUUGCUUAACUGCGAGACUGACAAGUCGAGCAGAUACGAAAGUAGGUCAUAGUGAUCCGGUGGUUCUGAAUGGAAGGGCCAUCGCUCAACGGAUAAAAGGUACGCCGGGGAUAACAGGCUAAUACCCCCCAAGAGUUCACAUCGACGGGGGUGUUUGGCACCUCGAUGUCGGCUCAUCACAUCCUGGGGCUGAAGCAGGUCCCAAGGGUAUGGCUGUUCGCCAUUUAAAGUGGUACGCGAGCUGGGUUUAGAACGUCGUGAGACAGUUCGGUCCCUAUCUGCCGUGCGCGUUGGAAAAUUGAGAAGAGUUGCUCCUAGUACGAGAGGACCGGAGUGAACGAACCGCUGGUGUUCGGGUUGUCAUGCCAAUGGCAUUGCCCGGUAGCUAUGUUCGGAAAGGAUAACCGCUGAAAGCAUAUAAGCGGGAAGCCUCCUUCAAGACUAGUUUUCCCUGGACCUUCGGGUCCUUAGAGAGCCGUUCAAGACUAGGACGUUGAUAGGCAGGGUGUGUAAGUGCUGUAAGGCAUUGAGCUAACCUGUACUAAUUGCUCGAUCGGCUUGACCGU
rnacentral:rRNA from 1 species